CCUACGGGAGGCAGCAGUGGGGAAUCUUGCGCAAUGGGCGAAAGCCUGACGCAGCGACGCCGCGUGAGUGAUGAAGGCCUUCGGGUUGUAAAGCUCUGUGGGGCGAGACGAAUAAGUGCAGCCUAAUACGUUGCAUGAUGACGUAUCGCAUAGCAGACCGAUCGA
rnacentral:rRNA from 1 species